UUUUUAGUAUAAGACAAAUUCUGUGCGUGUUAUAGGGAGUCCAUACAGACUAGUUUAGAUUGUCGAAGGUGCGGGUAGUAUGGAACCGGGUUCCAAAUUACCUGCCGCUACUUUGCUGACUGGAUCUCCCUACAAACACCAACUUGAGGAGUCAAUCAAAUCUAUAGCGCAGAGAGGAAAAGGUCGAGGAAGAGCUCGGGGACGUAGUGGAAGGCAGGGUAUGCCAAACCCUUCUAGACCUCGCUCGAACAGGCGGGAAUCUUCCUCUUCGGAUACUACGAUGUCAUCUGUUUCUUCAGGUAAAACUGCGGUGGCAGAAAAUUAUACCACACAAGCUCAGCCCACAAGCCACGAUGAUUAUUGUAUUUUUUGUUCAGAAUGUUUCUCAAAUAAUCAACAGGGUGAAAUUUGGAUUCAGUGCCAAUCUUGUGAGUUGUGGGCACAUAUUGAUUGCUCAGGAUGCGAAAAAGAAUAUUAUAUUUGUGAUUUUUGUAAAUAAAUUUGUUUCAUACUUGUAAUUUGGAACCCGGGUUCCGUAAUACCCGCACCAAAACUCAAAACACGUUUUUUUCAUUUAGUCAAUAAAGGUAAUUAUUUCCUAUAA